UCUCCCCGGGGGCCUGAGACCAGCGGAAGACGUACUGGCCCGGCCAGGGCCGCUGCCUGAUUGACGAGGCCCGCUUGGGAGAGCGGACGUGCCACGCAGAUUCGAGGAUGGCCCCAGGCCUCCUGAGCAGGGAUCGGCACGGACCCUGGGCCAACGAGGGAGCAGGCCGGAGUACCAUCCCCCUCAACCCUCUUUUUAGAACAUCCUUCAGAGGGCUUCUCUGACCUCGUCUUGAACUCCUUAAGGGCCGGCGAGAUCAUUCCUUCCACCACCGGAGGGAGAAGAGGCAAAAUGAAUUUGCCAGCCCUGAAUUCAUUCUCAAGGCUACGCUAUUCUGACAGCCAGCAAACAGCCUGGAUUCCUGAGAGCUCUGAGGACGGCAGCUCAGUUCCUUUUACAUCUGGAAACUAGAGAGUGACUGAAGAGGACAAGAGGAGCCAAGCUCAGCACACAAAGUGGGCCCAACUCUCUAUAGUAUGGAUCCAGGGGUAAUCUCAGCUCUUCCCAGCUGGGCAAGCAUGGCAUUUGAUGGCAGCAACUUUAAGAAAUCUCACCUCAGCCUUGAGUCUACCCUAGCCUCCUGAGCACCCUGGGCUCCAGUUCUUGAGACACAGACACUUGUUGUCCCUAUUCCAAUUUUGAGAAAUAAUAAGGCAUGUUGGAUCCAUGUGGGCUCUUGGAAGAUGCUGUGACUUAGUAUGUGCCUACUGUGUGCUGGGUAGCAUGAUGAGGGCCUCUGAGGCAUGAGUUCAUUGAAUUCUCACAUUGCCUUGAGUUAGGUGCUGUUAAACUGCACUGUGAGGGUCUUGUCCAAAGUCAGCAUGAGUUGAACUCAGGUCCUCAUUAACAAAGUUUCCUGCUGGUCUCUCAGUCCCAGCUCUACAUCCUCAUCCCUAGACUCUCUGUAUGACCCUGGGCAAGUAGCUAGCCCUCUCUGGGCCUCCGUAAACCAAGAGCAGGGUUUCCUGAUGAUAAUCAGGCCUCUUUGGGGACUGUGUGUUCUGAACCCCCACCUUCAUGGCCUUGGUCUCUGUGGGCCUGGAGGCCUGGGGUGAGGCAGAGAGGAUGGUGCUUUCACUUUGCAGCCACUGGGAGCUGGAAGAUGGAUUCCACUCAGCCCAUGCAGGCCUGUAAAUCACCUGGCUUCACAGGCAGCUUCAGUGGCCAGCAGGACGGUGCAGGCUGCAGGAGGCUGGCCUGUGGGCGCCAGUGUGGGGCCCAGCCCACACCCACCUUCAGAACAGACUUAAGUGCUAUUAAUUUCCUCACCCUCCACCCUCCAGGGAGCCCCCAGCAGGAAAAGAAGCUCAUUGCUUAGGCCUGAGUAAGGGGAGCCGGGAGCCCGGAGGAAGGCAGUGACUUAGGUCUUAUGUAGGGUGUCCUAACUAUGGUCCCCUUGGACAGGGGGCCUUCCAUGGGCUGGGGGUGGGCAAGGGCCUGGCACCAGUGGGGAUGAAUUCCUGCCUCUGCAGGAUUGCCUCCUUUGUCUCCACUCUUCACACCCCCGUCCCUAGAAGGGAGCCAGAGGGCUGAAGGCGCUGGAGGAAAGUCACAGUUAUUGAGUGCUUACUGUUCACGGCACACUCUCAUUACAUCCUUUCCACAAGCCAGAAGGUGUAAUUUGCCUCUGAGGAAAGAGGCUCAGAGAGAUUUAAGUGACCCGCUCAGGACCUCACAGCUACUCAGUUGGUGAGGUCUGAGCUGGGCCUCAGGGUUGAGAAUGGAGACUUGUCUUCAUCUCCUCACCAGGCCCAGGCUAUGGUGCAGACAGGUGCUUUGAGGUGUCACCUGCCGGGUGCUUUGAGGUGGAGUAAAGACUUGCUCACCUGGCAGUCGUGGGGCCCUCCGGGGGUGGUGGAGUAAUGGGGAGGACCUUUCGUCUUCACACCUUGGUUGGAUCCAGGCGGCAUUUGGUCCCUACCCAACUCUGUGCCUCUAAGGCUGGGUGGCAAUCAGGCCUGGCAGAGAGCAGACAUGCACAGAAGGCUCCUCUGGCCUGCCUCCUUUCUGUAUUCCAGUCAGAUGGCCCGCUUCAUUCUCUGAGGCCCUACCUUCCCAGCCUCCAGACCCUGGAUCUCCCAGGCCCUUCCAAAAGGCUUGUUAUCUUCUCAGUUGCCAUUACGGUGUUCUGCCCCGUGGUUCCAAUUCCACCACCAUCCACUUCUUCCCAUCGGGGGCCUCAGAGAAUAAGCUGAGAGCCUCCCUCAGGAGCUGGGACAUCCAGCCCAGCCCAACCCACGCACCCAACCUGCUGCCCAACUUACUUGGUGGCUUGAGCAUGUCAUAGACUCCGUGCCUCUGUUUCCCCAUCUGUCAUCAAGAGAGUGCGCAGCACAUGGAGAACAUUCAGUGGUACUUGUGCCUUGGAGCAUCCUAUAGUUCUGUAGGUCUGAGCCUUCCACUUUAGGGUUUGGGGUGGGGGCGGGGGUGGCUGCCUUGGGGAGUGUGCUCAGUGGCCCCCUUUUGGCGGGUGGGGACAGGCAAAUUUCUGUAUGUGGAGGGAGCUGUCCAGGACUGUGAAUAGGUAACAGCCUUAACACCUCUUUUCACGGGAUACCUCUCACCGUCUCAGCCUCGCAGCGGCCCUGCUAUGGGUGACUAAACUGAGCCUCAGAUGGAGGCGGUGGUUUUCCCAUAGCCACACAGCUGGAAAGUGUCAGAGCUGGGACAGGAACCAGGGCUCCUAAUUCUUCACCUGUACCAGUGCUGCCAGAGUGGGUGAUGGAGGAGCUCGUGUGUCCUGCACUGUAUGGGAACUCUGGGACAACCUACCGGAGGAAAGUCAAACCUCCUACCUCCUUCCUGACAGCUCCAGUGCCCUGAGGGGGCCCUCCUUUCUGGCACUGGAGGGGGUGGGAAAAGAUCUCAGAGCCUCAACCACUGCCCUGCUCACCUGGCUAGCAGUUGCCUGGCAUCUCAUACCCCUUGCUCUGACCCUGUCUUAUAGCCAUGCUGGGUGGCUCCCAGAAUUGUCUGUAUUAUACACAUACUUGGGUGGCUCCCAGAAUUGUCUGUAUUAUACACAUACUCUCCUUCUCCUGCUCUGCCUGCCUCCUGGGACGUACCCCUCCCAGCCUUUCAGGCUACAUCUACAGCCACCUGCUGGAAAGCCUCUUCAGAUAACUCUGGCAGAUCUGCUAUGUAGCUGGUCUCACCCCCAUGUGCUUCUAUGCCCACAGCAUUGUCAUCGUUAUAGAAACGACUUGGCAGUAACUGUCUCUGCUUGCAUCCUUCUGGAAACAGGGAACUUGCUCCCUUACAUAGCAGACAAUGCCCCGUGGUGCGCUGGUAAAUGUUUAACAGCUGGCUCUCCAAGGUCCCUGGGGGGAAGAGGACCGAGAGGCCACUAAUGGACAAGGCAAUCAGAAAAGGCUUCAUGGAAGAGGUGGCAUGUGCCUUGGGCCUUGACGGAUUAAGAAGACUUGGACCAGGAUGGACAAGAUGAACAGCAGGAGCAAAAGUGGAGACGUGGGAGAGAGCCUCCAGAAGCAUUGGUGUCUUAGGUCAUUCAUGAUAUGACCCCUGCACGGACUCCUCAGCCUGACAUAUGCUGCAGGAACUCAGCAAUCAGUGUAAGGCUGGACAUCAGAUCUGAGAGCUCAGUCACCCUGGGAGCUGGCAGCUGGAGCGGUGGGAACUGGGAGAGUGAAUGGGGCCGAGAGCAGCUUCCUGGAGGAAGCAGGAGAAACCUGGAAGAGAGGAAGAUUUUAUCGUAAUGCAGUGAGGAGCCCGAGGGCCUGAGAGGUCAUAUGACUCAAUCAAGGUCAUCCUGCCAGGGCAGAGAUGUGAUGAAGCCCUGUCCUUCAGAACAAUUUUUCCUGGAGCCCUGAGCCACCACGUAGGAAGUAAGAAGAAUCGCUAGCCUGAGGUUGCCAUCUUGUGAGGAAGCCCAAGCUACAUGGAUGGUCUGUGUCUGGGCUCCCUGUCCCAUCUGAGCCCAGAUCCUAGCCUCUCCAGCUGUUUGAGUUUUUCCAGCUGAGGCCUCAGAUAUCAUGGAGCAGGGACAAAUCACUCCUGGUAUGUGCUGUCUGAACCCCUGGCCAGUAAAAUCUCAGGAUAAAUUGUUUUGUGCCACU